UGGGGAAUAUUGCACAAUGGGCGGAAGCCUGAUGCAGCGACGCCGCGUGAGUGAAGAAGUAUCUCGGUAUGUAAAGCUCUAUCAGCAGGGAAGAAAAUGACGGUACCUGACUAAGAAGCCCCGGCUAACUACGUGCCAGCAGCCGCGGUAAUACGUAGGGGGCAAGCGUUAUCCGGAUUUACUGGGUGUAAAGGGAGCGUAGACGGCGACGCAAGUCUGGAGUGAAAGCCCGGGGCCCAACCCGGGACUGCUUUGGAAACUGUGUUGCUGGAGUGCAGGAGAGGUAAGUGGAAUUCCUAGUGUAGCGGUGAAAUGCGUAGAUAUUAGGAGGAACACCAGUGGCGAAGGCGGCUUACUGGACUGUAACUGACGUUGAGGCUCGAAAGCGUGGGGAGCAAACAGGAUUAGAUACCCUGGUAGU
rnacentral:rRNA from 1 species